rnacentral:rRNA from 1 species
ACAAGUGCAUGUGGUGGAUGCCUUGGCGAUCACAGGCGAUGAAGGACGCGGUAGCCUGCGAAAAGCCCCGGGGAGCUGGCAAACAAGCUUUGAUCCGGGGAUGUCCGAAUGGGGAAACCCACUCCGUAUGGAGUAUCCAUGACUAAAUACAUAGGUCAUGUGAAGCGAACGCGGUGAACUGAAACAUCUAAGUAACCGCAGGAAAAGAAAUCAACCGAGAUUCCCAAAGUAGUGGCGAGCGAAAUGGGAUGAGCCUUGUACUCUUUAUUUGUAUUGUUAGCCGAACGCUCUGGAAAGUGCGGCCAUAGCAGGUGAUAGCCCUGUAGGCGAAAACAGUAUGAAAGAACUAGGUGUACGACAAGUAGGGCGGGACACGUGAAAUCCUGUCUGAAGAUGGGGGGACCAUCCUCCAAGGCUAAAUACUCGUGAUCGACCGAUAGUGAACCAGUACCGUGAGGGAAAGGCGAAAAGAACCCCGGGAGGGGAGUGAAAUAGAUCCUGAAACCGCAUGCAUACAAACAGUCGGAGCCUCGUAAGGGGUGACGGCGUACCUUUUGUAUAAUGGGUCAGCGACUUACGUUCAGUAGCAAGCUUAACCGUAUAGGGCAGGCGUAGCGAAAGCGAGUCCGAAUAGGGCGUUCAGUUGCUGGGCGUAGACCCGAAACCAGGUGAUCUAUCCAUGGCCAGGAUGAAGGUGCGGUAACACGUACUGGAGGUCCGAACCCACUAACGUUGAAAAGUUAGGGGAUGAGCUGUGGAUAGGGGUGAAAGGCUAAACAAACCUGGAAAUAGCUGGUUCUCUCCGAAAACUAUUUAGGUAGUGCCUCGUGUCUCACCUUCGGGGGUAGAGCACUGUCAUGGUUGGGGGGUCUAUUGCAGAUUACCCCGCCAUAGCAAACUCCGAAUACCGAAGAGUGCAAUCACGGGAGACAGACAUCGGGUGCUAACGUCCGGUGUCAAGAGGGAAACAACCCAGACCGCCAGCUAAGGUCCCCAAAUAUGGCUAAGUGGGAAACGAAGUGGGAAGGCUAAAACAGUCAGGAGGUUGGCUUAGAAGCAGCCACCCUUUAAAGAAAGCGUAAUAGCUCACUGAUCGAGUCGUCCUGCGCGGAAGAUGUAACGGGGCUAAGCCAUAUACCGAAGCUGCGGAUGCGUGCUUGCACGCAUGGUAGGAGAGCGUUCCGUAAGCCUGCGAAGGUGCCUUGUAAAGGGUGCUGGAGGUAUCGGAAGUGCGAAUGCUGACAUGAGUAGCGAUAAAGGGGGUGAAAGGCCCCCUCGCCGUAAGCCCAAGGUUUCCUACGCAACGUUCAUCGGCGUAGGGUGAGUCGGCCCCUAAGGCGAGGCAGAAAUGCGUAGCUGAUGGGAAGCAGGUCAAUAUUCCUGCACCGUCGUUAGAUGCGAUGGGGGGACGGAUCGCGGAAGGUUGUCCGGGUGUUGGACGUCCCGGUCGCUGCAUUGGAGAAGGCGCUUAGGCAAAUCCGGGCGCAGGAUUCAAGGGUGUGGCGCGAGCGACUUCGGUCGCGAAGCAAUUGGAAGUGGUUCCAAGAAAAGCCUCUAAGCUUCAGUCUAACGAUGACCGUACCGCAAACCGACACAGGUGGGCGAGAUGAGUAUUCUAAGGCGCUUGAGAGAACUCGGGAGAAGGAACUCGGCAAAUUGGUACCGUAACUUCGGGAUAAGGUACGCCCUUGUAGCUUGACUGGCCUGCGCCAGGAGGGUGAAGGGGUUGCAAUAAACUGGUGGCUGCGACUGUUUAAUAAAAACACAGCACUCUGCAAACACGAAAGUGGACGUAUAGGGUGUGACGCCUGCCCGGUGCCGGAAGAUUAAAUGAUGGGGUGCAAGCUCUUGAUUGAAGUCCCGGUAAACGGCGGCCGUAACUAUAACGGUCCUAAGGUAGCGAAAUUCCUUGUCGGGUAAGUUCCGACCUGCACGAAUGGCGUAACGAUGGCCACACUGUCUCCUCCCGAGACUCAGCGAAGUUGAAGUGUUUGUGAUGAUGCAAUCUACCCGCGGCUAGACGGAAAGACCCCAUGAACCUUUACUGUAGCUUUGCAUUGGACUUUGAACCGAUCUGUGUAGGAUAGGUGGGAGGCUAUGAAACCGGAACGCUAGUUUCGGUGGAGCCGUCCUUGAAAUACCACCCUGGUUUGUUUGAGGUUCUAACCUUGGUCCGUGAUCCGGAUCGGGGACAGUGCAUGGUAGGCAGUUUGACUGGGGCGGUCUCCUCCCAAAGGGUAACGGAGGAGUACGAAGGUACGCUAGGUACGGUCGGAAAUCGUGCUGAUAGUGCAAUGGCAUAAGCGUGCUUAACUGCGAGACCGACAAGUCGAGCAGGUGCGAAAGCAGGUCAUAGUGAUCCGGUGGUUCUGUAUGGAAGGGCCAUCGCUCAACGGAUAAAAGGUACUCUGGGGAUAACAGGCUGAUACCGCCCAAGAGUUCAUAUCGACGGCGGUGUUUGGCACCUCGAUGUCGGCUCAUCUCAUCCUGGGGCUGUAGCCGGUCCCAAGGGUAUGGCUGUUCGCCAUUUAAAGAGGUACGUGAGCUGGGUUUAAAACGUCGUGAGACAGUUUGGUCCCUAUCUGCCGUGGGCGUUGGAUAUUUGAAGGGGGCUGCUCCUAGUACGAGAGGACCGGAGUGGACGAACCUCUGGUGUACCGGUUGUGACGCCAGUCGCAUCGCCGGGUAGCUAUGUUCGGAAGAGAUAACCGCUGAAAGCAUCUAAGCGGGAAACUCGCCUUAAGAUGAGAUAUCCCUGGAGGCUUGACCUCCUUGAAGGGUCGUUCGAGACCAGGACGUUGAUAGGUCGGGUGUGUAAGCGCAGUAAUGCGUUCAGCUAACCGAUACUAAUUGCCCGUAAGGCUUGAUC